rnacentral:rRNA from 1 species
GAUGAACGCUGGCGGCGUGCCUAAUACAUGCAAGUCGAGCGAACAGACGAGGAGCUUGCUCCUCUGACGUUAGCGGCGGACGGGUGAGAAACACGUGGAUAACCUACCUAUAAGACUGGGAUAACUUCGGGAAACCGGAGCUAAUACCGGAUAAUAUAUUGAACCGCAUGGUUCAAUAGUGAAAGACGGUUUUGCUGUCACUUAUAGAUGGAUCCGCGCCGCAUUAGCUAGUUGGUAAGGUAACGGCUUACCACGGCAACGAUGCGUAGCCGACCUGAGAGGGGGAUCGCCCACACUGGAGCGGAGACGCGGUCCAGACUCCUGCGGGAGGCAGCAGUAGGGAAUCUUCCGCAAUGGGCGAAAGCUUGACGGAGCAACGGCGCGUGAGUGAUGAAGGUCUUCGGAGCGUAAAACUCUGUUAUUAGGGAAGAACAAAUGUGUAAGUAACUAUGCACGUCUUGACGGUACCUAAUCAGAAAGCCACGGCUAACUACGUG